CUCCUUCACAUCUCACAUCUCCAUCCUCACCUCUAUCCUCAUCCCUCUAUCCUCAUCCCGCCAUCCUCAUCCCACCAUCCUCAUCCCUCUCCGUCUUCCAUCGCCUUCCCGUCCAUUCCCGCCAUAGGAUGGUUCCAUUCUAGCUUGACUACCGCCUCUGCUUAGCCAGCCCCUGUUGAGGUUUGAGUCACCAACACUGGCCAACUGCCAAAUACCUCUCUGCCUUCGACGAGAUCUUCAUCUGGGCGCCCAUCUCCCAAUCGUUUCCUUUCCCUCCUCCUCCUCCUCCCCCUCCUCCCCCUCCUCCCUCCACGCUGCGAGCGACUCACUGGAUCUAAUAGACGCACCUGCCGCCCGCUCCCUUCGUCCUCCACUUUCUUCCCAUCGCUUUCUCUGCUCGCUCGACCGAGAGACACACAUCGCCCGCAAGUCGCUUGUCUUCCCCAAAUAUAUCCAAUAUAUAUAUAUAUAUAUAUAUAUAGAUAUAGAUAUAUAAUAUAUAACAUAUAAUAUAUACCCUAUAAAUGCGCCUUCCUGAACCGAGACAUUAUUAUCAACCCUCAGAUCAGGCUUAGGCGGAACCUGAUGCUUCGCUGUCGUACAGCCCCUGUUGUCUCGCUCUGCAAACCAACCACCCGCUGUGUCCAUAUUUUCCCUUUCUCAUUACCCGCUGCCACCCUCUAAUUGCUUUUUUUUUUUUUUUUUUUUUCCGAAGUACUCACAUCGUAUCUCUCAUAUAUUUACUCUCACACAUAUAUAUAUAUAUAUAUAUACGCCCGCAAACAUCCAAAAAACACACCUGGUCGUAUGCCGCUUCGGGGAUAGGCCUGUCUGCCGAUCUGUUUGUCGGUUCCUUUGUGGCCCCCUUUCUGGGCUUUCGACUUCGUUCCUCUCUCCGCUUUGAAAUACCCAUCAAACGGAUAACGGCCAUUGAUUGUCGUUGCGCCAAACCGGCCAAUAAUCGGGCUCUCUCAUUUGAAACGCCGAUAUAGAAGGAAAAAGCAAGACUCGGCAUAACAAUCGACAACUCUUGCACUUACAUCUGUCCGCGUUUUUGAGAUACAUUAAAAAAAAAAAAAAAAAAAAAAAAAGAAAAGAAAAGAAAAGGAAAGAAAGAAGAAAAUACCACUCGCGAAUAUGGCCUCCAGCCAGACUACGCCAGUCCCAUCCGAAAAUGCGUCUCCCGCUCCUUCCGACCCUCCUCCUGGGCCGUCUUCACCCCCGCAGCCCACCACACCUCCGCCGAAUCCUCCACCGUCGCAACCGCCCCCAAGUCCUUCGCCUUCAAACCCUCCGCCUCCUCCUCCGCCUCCGCAACCUUCGACCCCACGGCCGCCUUCCCCGAGUAACCCGCAACCGCCUCCCCCUCCUUCUCCCUCUUCCCAAGCCCCAGGUCCCACUCCUCCUCCUUCGGAGCCCUCAUCUCCUCCGCCCAAUCCUACCCGGACCGCGGGUUCGGAUAACAAUACAACCAUAUUCAUUACCUCCACCGCUUCAAGAGCACCGCCACCUGGCACUGGAGUGCCCAAUUCAACCGGAUCUGGAACACCAUCGGUGCUCCCUCAACCAUCCACCGGUGGUUCAGGCUCGGGAGGCUUGUCAGCUGGUGGCACUAUUGCCCUUGCCGUUGUCCUUCCCGUCGUCUCGGUGGCGCUGAUCAUUCUUCUCAUCCUAUGGUGGUGGAGGAAACGGAAGGCUAGAAAAAUCGCGGAAGAGGAACGGAAGCAAGAAAUCGAAGAGUACCGCUUCAACCCCAACAACGAUCCCCUCUUGCCUGCAGUGGGUAAUUUCGAUGAUGGCGCCCUCCCGAAAGAUGGAAACAACGGAGGAUAUCGCGGUUGGGGCACAACCAACGCUACGUCUCGGAAGCUGUCAACCAAUCUAUCAAGCGGCGCUGGCGGAAUAACCGCCUCAGAUAAUGGCAGCAACCCAGGCCCUCCGAGACCGGUAUCUCCUCUAGACGACUCCAUCCCCUACGAGGAUGACCACAGGCCGGUAUCGGGUGACUAUUCAGGGCUUGACCCCGCUGCUGCCGGUAUGCUCGCUCACCCUAACAGUAACUCCAACGCCAACUCUCGCGAUAUCCGCCGCGGCCCGUCGAAUGCUUCAUCGGCUUACUCCAAUGCGAACCGUUCGGACGUGUCGGAUGAUCUCCCUAUACCUGGCGGCGCGCCCGGCACGGCCCAGUAUUAUGAUGACCCCUACUACACUGACGGAGCUGGGCAGCCCGGCGGUGCUUUUGCGGAAAAUCCAUAUAACGCGCCUCCCGUGAUCCGCGAUGUACAGGCAAGACGGAAUACGCGAAUCGAAAACCCCUCCGUAUUUCCGCAACAGGGGAAUGCGGGCAUAGCGCAGAAUUUUUAAAAAUAAAAGAUUUCCAUCGACCUUUUUCGCGUUUCUGUUCCCAACCUUUCCCCAAUAGUUCUCCCAUUUUCUUUCCAUUUUUUUUUUUUUUUUUUUGGAGCCUUUUGACAUAAUUCAAUUGUUGUAAUCCUUUCGUCAUCUUUAUUUUCAUUUUAUUCCCACUAUUUACUUGGAACACACUUGUCGCUGGGCCGUGGAGAGCGGCUAAUUUUCGUCCUCUUCCCGCUUCCCUCCCUCCCAUUUUUCGUUUCUUUUUCCUUUUUCUAAGUCCGUCCUCAACCUCAGUCUAUAUAAACCCCUUCCAUUUAUUCUAAUAAGGCUUAAUCUUCUCUUUUGUUUUUCAUCGGAAAAUCUCCCGCCUCCGGGCAACAAACGGCACAAAGCCAGCCUCCACUUUGCACAUAUACUCUGGUCCUCGUAAUGCAAAUAUACCAACCAUCCACUACACGAACUGCUCUUUUCUUUUCUUUGUUUUUGUUUUUAUAUUUUUACUGCAUAUAUCCUUGUUAUCUACAAAUACUUUUAUAUCGUUUUAAAAGGCAUGUAUCCAUUUUCUUUGACUCGGUCCCGCUUAUCCUAUUUGUGUAUCUAUGUCCAGUGCACAACUUUGUCCUUAAUUCUUUUUUUCUCGCUAAUAUUCAUAUGUUGUAUGUUUUGGCAUUGUGUACCCAGCACCGAUUCCUCAUUUUUUCUCCUAGACGCGACUCACCAGUAUUUCCCCCCUUUUAUUUCAGCAUGUCUCAUGUCUCAGCCCUAUCGUUUGGUCCUAUUUUCAUACUUCGUUUUGUUUUUAUCAAUGUUUGUCCCCCCCUACCCCUUUUUAUGGCUUGUUUUUUGCCCACUUUUUUUUGUAUCUAAAUCUAAACUUAUUCUCACUCAGAUCUUGUGUAUUGGAUAUUUGAAUCAGAAAAAAUCGAUUUGAAAAUAUGAUUUCCUGCCUAUUUCUCGAAUCUCUAACUUCUCGCUCACUCUACUCUAUAUAUACUUAUUAUAUACGGCAUCAGCAAAUAUAGUAAUAGUUCUGGUAGUAGCACUGUAUCGCAGUAUAGGGAGCCCGAUCAUCCUUUCUAGAAUAUAAUUCACCCCAUAUGUCCAAAUAUCUGACUCGUGGCUACCUACUAUUUCUCUCACUUUUAUUAUUAUUAUUAUUUUUCCAGAACUAGGUAUGAACCCGAGCGCGUAACCAGGGUAAUGGUUUAGCGACCAUCCAUCCAGCACCUAAGUGUUCAUGCUGCAUGGAGAAACGUACGUCUUACCCCAUACCUAUACCGAUACAUCCACUAUAAUACUGAACAAAGAUCGGUAGCGUAAGAAGAAAGAAAAUAUCCCCGCGCUCCUCUUUCUCCAAUUUUCCCCCAUAGAUCCAUCCCACAGCCACACAAAAAAGGCAUAAAAAAAAUAUGUAUGUGUAUUUUGUCUAGAUGGAUUAGGUCAUUCAUUACGCACGCCGCUUACAACAAUCCACACUCCAUCCGACACACAAAUGUAUAUUUUCCCUCCCCGCUCCUUCUAUGCCCCAACUGCCAACUGCCAACCGUCAACCGUCAACCGUCAACCGUCAACCGUCAGCCUUCAACCGCUAGCCCCCAAGCCUCACGAACCUCCGUGUCCCACGACCCACGAUAUGUAUAAAUCGGGGCAAAGCAGCCCGUGGCUCAAGAUUAUGAAAGGAAGAAAGAAUGGGGCACCCAAACACCACCCCCCACACCAAACAUAAACGACAAACAGAAAAACAAAAAAAAAAAAAAAAAAAAAAAAGAAGAAAAAGAAAAGAAAAGUCUACGUCUUCAUAUCCCACGUGGGCUUCAAAUUUGACGUAAUAUCUUCCACCGUCCCGACAGUCUCAGGCGGCAGACGACUUAUCCGAUAGCCGCCAUUCCGGAUAUGGUAUGCAUGCGCUGCAGAGACGCCGGUGCGGUUGCUGCGGAUGCUCCCGGCGUCACUGGCUGUUUCUGCAUUUCUGAAGCGCGGGGGCGGUGCGAAGUCAAGGGCGGUGAAGGUGCCAGAUUUGCGGAGGGCGUGGGGACUAGGCAUGGCUGCGAGAUCAUCAUAGGAAGACGCCAGCGCGAUAUUCGCCGCGCGUACGGGGAUAUACGGCCGAAGUCCCCCGCGAGGUGUCUCAGAACGGCCUGCUCGACGAUCACUCGCGGUGGGACCGGGGGCGUAAUCGAUGGGGAGAACCAUGGUGUCAUCCUUGAGCUUGUGCGCGCUGGGGAGGACGUGGAGGGGGCCUGGUGGCCGCAAUUGGGGUUUCUGUGGCAUUGGCGGUCCCCUGUUAGAUAUCGAUGAGUUUGCACGGGGUCCUGGAUCGCCCGACGUUGUAGAGAAUGUUCUGUGGCUUGCUGCAUAGCCAAAGGCGGAUGAGGCGCCUUGCUGGCGUGAUGGCUGGGUGUAGAAAUUUGGCGGCAUUCGAGGUGGCGGAGUCAUGGCACGGCGUCCCAUAGGCUGGGUGAAUGGUGGUGGUUCUGGUGGGUAGAAACCCAUAUCAUCGCUGCCGCCAUAGUAGGGAUCCGGGUAGGCUGGGUCGUACGGCAUGUCUUCGUGAUAGUCAUUUUCGCCGUAGUCUUCGUAAUAUUCCUCUUGCGGAGGAUGAUGUUUGUUGCUCUCAUCAAAGUACUCCUUGUAAAAGGAUCGGAUGCGGUUGGCUCGUUGUUCGGGGUUGUCCGAAGGAUCUUCUGGUGGCAGUGGUCGGAUACCAACUGUAAGACGGCGGGAGUCGAACGUGUAUCCUUGGUCAUCUGGGAAAUCGUACAUGGUAGACAGACGAGCGUUUUUGUCCGGUUGAUGUGUGUUUGACUCAGAGGUAUCCACGUUCACUUGCGGUAGAACUGAAGUUGAAUUUCUUUUGUCAUCUCCAUAGUCGCUAUGGUCAUCGUCUGAUGGCAGAGAAAUACGGGGCAGUACCAGGGCUGAGCCCGGGGUCGGAGCCGGGUGUGGGAUCAAGGCUGGUGGUGCGUGAGAGUGUGACUGCGACGAGGAAUUUGAUUCAGGAAGGACAUUGUCUAGAUCCGGGAGGUCGAAUGACGGAGGGUGAACCGUAGGGGUAGAAGUCAGAUACAAUUCAUCAGAUUGGGUAUUCUGAGAAAUGGCUUCGCCUUGUGCAGGAGAGGGCCAGUUACGGUCACUGGUUUCUGGAGUUGUACCUCGUUGGAUGAGAGCGCCCAGGUAAUCAUUGCUCUUCCUGAGCUCACUUCCAGGAGUGGAAAUGCUCUUGGGUGCAAGUGACCGGUCUGGAGAAUGGAUGCCGGAUCGAUCGGAUACAAUAUUAGGGGUGGGUGUUGUCAACUUGCGCGGAGGGCUCCUGUAACUCUGGCUUGACCCUAUUGAAUGCGUGUCAGUUCCGGGAGGAGGGCUCGCUCUAGACAUGCGCUGCGCGUUUCUAAGGAGAUUGGCAUGCAUCUCAUCACCAGGUGGAGCAUGGCGACUACUCAUGCCUGCAAAACUGGCAGAAUCAUCCGGAAACGGCUUCAAGUUGCUAGUGAAUGACCGCAUGGAUGCAUUAUCGCCGGCCGAAAAGGCUGUUGCGGUGCGGUAUCUGUCGUCAUCGGCAUGGACGGAUCUUGACAAGGAGUGUAGCGAAUCGUGCGAACCAUUGAGAGCAGGCGGU
rnacentral:sRNA from 1 species